AAGCAUAGGAUGAAUAACUCGGAUUCCCCUUCAGGACAUCAAAACGGAUGAUGCAAGUUUGAGUUUCUGAUGCA